GCCAGACUCCUACGGGAGGCAGCAGUGGGGGAUAUUGCACAAUGGGGGAAACCCUGAUGCAGCGACGCCGCGUGGGCGAAGAAGUAUUUCGGUAUGUAAAGCCCUAUCAGCAGGGAAGAAGAAAUGACGGUACCUGAGUAAGAAGCACCGGCUAAAUACGUGCCAGCAGCCGCGGUAAUACGUAUGGUGCAAGCGUUAUCCGGAUUUACUGGGUGUAAAGGGAGCGUAGACGGCAUGGCAAGUCUGAUGUGAAAACCCGGGGCUCAACCCCGGGACUGCAUUGGAAACUGUCAGGCUAGAGUGUCGGAGAGGCAAGUGGAAUUCCUAGUGUAGCGGUGAAAUGCGUAGAUAUUAGGAGGAACACCAGUGGCGAAGGCGGCUUACUGGACUGUAACUGACGUUGAGGCUCGAAAGCGUGGGGAGCAAACAGGAUUAGAUACCCCGGUA
rnacentral:rRNA from 1 species